rnacentral:rRNA from 1 species
CUUCCGUAGGGGGACCUGCGGAGGGAUCAUUACCGAGUUUACAACUCCCAAACCCCUGUGACAUACCUUAAUGUUGCCUCGGCGGAUCAGCCCGCGCCCCGUAAAACGGGACGGCCCGCCAGAGGACCCAAACUCUAAUGUUUCUUAUUGUAACUUCUGAGUAAAACAAACAAAUAAAUCAAAACUUUCAACAACGGAUCUCUUGGUUCUGGCAUCGAUGAAGAACGCAGCAAAAUGCGAUAAGUAAUGUGAAUUGCAGAAUUCAGUGAAUCAUCGAAUCUUUGAACGCACAUUGCGCCCGCUGGUAUUCCGGCGGGCAUGCCUGUUCGAGCGUCAUUUCAACCCUCAAGCCCCCGGGUUUGGUGUUGGGGAUCGGCUCUGCCCUUCUGGGCGGUGCCGCCCCCGAAAUACAUUGGCGGUCUCGCUGCAGCCUCCAUUGCGUAGUAGCUAACACCUCGCAACUGGAACGCGGCGCGGCCAUGCCGUAAAACCCCAACUUCUGAAUGUUGACCUCGGAUCAGGUAGGAAUACCCGCUGAACUUAAGCAUAUCAAUAAACCGGAGGAAACGU